rnacentral:rRNA from 1 species
GAUGAACGCUAGCUACAGGCCUAACACAUGCAAGUCGCGCGGCAGCAUGGGGGUUGCUUGCAAUCCCCGAUGGCGACCGGCGCACGGGUGAGUAACGCGUAUCCAACCUGCCCUUCACCACGGGAUAACCCGGCGAAAGUCGGACUACUACUGAAUGUUGUCCAUUGACGGCAUCCGAUUUGGACGAAAGGUUUGGCGGUGAAGGAUGGGGAUGCGUCCGAUUAGCUGGACGGCGGGGUGACGGCCCACCGUGGCGACGAUCGGUAGGGGUGCGGGGAGGGAGGUCCCCCGCACUGGAACUGAGACACAGACCAGAAGGCUACGGGAGGCAGGAGUGAGGAAUAUUAGUCAAUGAGCGUAAGCGUGAAACAGCCAAGUAGGGUACAGGAUGACGGGGCUAUGGGUUGUAAACUGCUUUUAAGCGGGGAUAAAGUGGCCCACGUGUGAGUUUUUGCAGGUACCGAAUGAAUAAGGACCGGCUAAUUCCGUG